AAAGUCGUAACAAGGUUUCCGUAGGUGAACCUGCGGAAGGAUCAUUCAUAAUAAGUGUUUUAUGGCACUUUUAAAUCCAUAUCCACCUUGUGUGCAAUGUUAUCUCACUGUUGCUUUCUUCUUCGGAAGAGAGUGCUUUGAGAUUAUAUAUCUACUCAAUUUUUAAUCACUUUGUCUGAACUAUUAUGAAUACUUAAUUCAAAAUACAACUUUUAACAACGGAUCUCUUGGCUCUC
rnacentral:misc_RNA from 1 species